CCUACGGGAGGCAGCAGUGGGGGAUAUUGCACAAUGGGCGGAACCCUGAUGCAGCGACGCCGCGUGGGUGACGGAGCGUUUCGGCGCGUAAAGCCCUAUCGGCAGGGACGAAGCUGACGGUACCUGACCAUGAAGCAGCGGCUAACUACGGGCCAGCAGCCGCGGUAGUACGUAGGGGGCAAGCGUUAUCCGGAUUUACUGGGUGUAAAGGGGGCGCAGACGGCAAUGCAAGCCAGGAGUGAAAGCACGGGGCCCAACCCCGGGACUGCUCUUGAAACUGCAUGGCUGGAGUACAGGAGGGGCAGGCGGAAUUCCUAGUGUAGCGGUGAAAUGCGUAGAUAUUAGGAGGAACACCAGUGGCGAAGGCGGCCUGCUGGACUGUGACUGACGUUGAGGCCCGAAGGCGUGGGGAGCAAACAGGAUUAGAUACCCUGGUAGUC
rnacentral:rRNA from 1 species